AAAAAGUUAGACAAAUGUGUUGUGAUUGUAGCUUUCUUAUUUAAAUCUAUAGAAAUCUAGUAUAUUUGGGUUUAUUUAAAGGACAAAUACCAAGUGGUAGAUACCACCAAUAUUAUUCUAAGGGGUAUCUACAUCAAUGUGAACAUGUGCUGUCAUAUACACUGAUUUCAAAUGCUUCACAAUGACUCGUUCUCUUUUGCCAUGUGAUCAGGAAUAUGCCAUAAUGAUACAGAGGAGGAUAUUUAUCAAAGUGUUCUGAAAACUGAUGGUUAAAUUCCAUCUGAGUUUGAACAUAUUUCCGAAAAAAUUUUUUUUUUAAAAAUGAAUGUUUUGUUUAUAUGAAAUUACACCUGACUCUGCAGAAAUUUCCAAUUCAGAUAUCACUGAAUUUAGAGGAAAAGAAUUGAAACAAAAUUCAUUUAUGUCAGAAAAAGUUAUUCAUAAAUCUGUUGUGUUGCUGAACAAAAUGGCAUGUAUUCAAAAAUUAUGGUUAGGGUACAAAAAAAAAGCAAUAGAUAAAAAAAGAAUUGAUAGGUUUCAUAAAUUGCACCAAAUAUUUACCAUAGUUUAGGCAGAAAAGUGUCGGUGACACAUUUAUAAAUCUCCCCUAUUGUACCCUAACUCUGCAGCAGCUAUUAUUCUAGAAAGCAUUGUGUCUUACAUCAGCAAUGAGGGAACACUGGGGAAAAGCUCACACAUUAAAAAGUAACAUUUAUUUAAAGGGAGACUCCAGACCCCUUAAAGCAAUUUAGUUCGCUAAAAAGUCUUAUGUGCGAAGAGUGUAUCCCCUUUAUUUCAAUAGAAAUUGACACUUUUAUAAAUGAACCUGGUUACACCCCCUUGGCUUCCAAUCAGACAUGUCUUGUUACUUCCUGGUAUAGUUAGCUCAGUGGAGCUAAGUUCAAGAGGCAGCAAUUGCUCAGAGCACCUGCCUUGCAAAGACUUCUCAUUGAGCUGCUUGGGGAAGUCUGUGAUUGGACAGCCACAAAAAGUCUGGGCGGGGUUUGAAAAGGCAGCAGACAAGAGAACUUCAGGUUUCACCGUCAAUGAAAAAAUACAUAUUAAAUGCAUGCACAUUUUAAUUUAGGGUAUAUCUACUAAACAGUGAUUUGUAUUUAUUUUGUAUUUGAGCAAUGGAGUGUCCCUUUAAUGUUCACAUAUUCCAGCCACCUGUAAGAAUGUAUCACAGUCAGAUGCCUUAAAAAAUUAUAACUUCCUGAAAGUAAUAUUGUCAUAAUGAUUAUCUUUAUUAAAGGUCUUUAUUUACAAUAACUGCUUAUUUUAAAAUCUCUCUUAAGACUGGUAUUUGAGUAAAAUCGUUGUAUCAGUUUAGCAGUCUUUAUGAC